UUGUACCACUCGGCCACUCCGGUUCUGAGCGCACCGCCCACACCUACCUAACGACUACUCGCUACGUGUUGUUGGCC
rnacentral:sRNA from 1 species